rnacentral:rRNA from 1 species
UACGAAGGGGGCUAGCGUUGCUCGGAAUCACUGGGCGUAAAGCGCACGUAGGCGGCUUGUUAAGUCAGGGGUGAAAUCCUGGAGCUCAACUCCAGAACUGCCUUUGAUACUGGCGAGCUUGGGUUCGGGAGAGGUGAGUGGAACUGCGAGUGUAGAGGUGAAAUUCGUAGAUAUUCGCAAGAACACCAGUGGCGAAGGCGGCUCACUGGCCCGAUACUGACGCUGAGGUGCGAAAGCGUGGGGAGCAAACAGG